rnacentral:lncRNA from 1 species
AAAAGCCUACGAAGGGCCUAUAUCAAGAAAGAAAAAACCAAUAGUAAAAACAAAACAAAAAAAUUAUUAUAAAUUAUCCUAUCUUUUAUAAAAAAUAAAAAUAGUAAAAACAAACCAAAGAAAAAACAUUUAUCUAUCAUGGAAAAUGCAUUGGUACAAAACCAUUUUGCCACACUAUUUAUAUAUGUUGUUUGAGCACAAUGAUAACGUUAGUGGGUGAAAUAAUUAGUCAUUAAGAGGAGAGGAAUCAAUGAGAAUUGAACUCAUGUUAGGAUGUAUCGACAUAAUUAUUUUCCGUCACUUCGAUAAAGUGUCAUUUGUACUAUAUGUAUAUGUUAAUUUAUGAUGAAUUGAAAAUGCCCCAAGUACACUAAUUAAAAGUGGGGGUUUCCAUGAACUCUCUGUUAUCUCACAGUUUAAUAUUAAUUAUCGUGUUAACAUUGUGCAAAAAAUGAGAUGGAAGAGAGUACGGAAAGUCGAACUUUUGAGAAAGUUAUGUCAGCAAUUUGUAUUGUUAUGUUAUAAAAUGAAUUUAAGCAUGUAAUUUUAUAUUAUGAACUUUUGCAUGUAAUUUGUUUUUGGUAAUAAUUAAAUAAGGACAGUAUUGUUUGCACACUCUUUUUUUACAUUAUACACACUCUUGUCAUUGAUAUUUUUUAAUUUAUUC